rnacentral:lncRNA from 12 species
GUGAUAGAUCAGAGCUGUCUAAUAGAAAUGUAAGUUUGUAAAACGUAGUGAUGGCAGCCCUACAAAAUGAAUACAAUUGUCCCUCUUCUGAAAUUGGGUUGUAGCAGGUUAAUUAGAGGCACUUUAUAUUCCUAUUUUAAGUUUCUAUUUAUCCUUUUAUUUCUUUUUGAGAUAUGAUGAAAAAACCAGAGGUGAUCAGAAUUUACUCUUCAUUUUUAAAAUUCAGAGCUGGCAAAGUGCAUCAGAGCAAGCAAAAACCAAGCAGAAAUGAAGGCCCCAGAGGCAUGGACGCCAUUCCUGGUUGGCGUCCAGCUCCAGCAAUGCUUCCCGGGUCUAAAGGAGCCCACUGCGCGCCAGGUGGGCACUCCUCCGGGGUGGCCCAAGGGAUCUCCUUAGCCGACAGGACCUGCCGCGGCGAGGAGUCUGCAACCCCCCCCCCCGCCCCCCGUGGAGGCCGUGAUAGAAGAAAGGAAAAGCGGGCGCACCCAAGACACCCGUGGCUUGUAGAAUUUUUAUCUCAGAGGGCGAGAUGGGAAACAUCGAUUGGCAAGACGUCACUCUUCCCCCCUGGUGUCACCGGAGGGGGCUGCUCGCGAGUGCAGGGACAGAGGUCGGAGAUAGAUGGCCGCGCACAUCACAUCAUUUGUAGUGAUUUAUUAGUUAAGAAAUAAAGCAUGACGGGUGGGUGUGGCCACCACGGCGCAAUCACACCCCUAGGGUGAGAGGACACUACACACAAUCAGAUUCCCCCCAGGGGUGUCAUUAGCUCAUAGGAGCCUGCCUCCCAGAACUGCCAGGCUCUUUAAUGUCGUUUAUUUAUUAAAAAAGAGUGGGCCAGUCAGCUCCGCUCCAUGGAGUGGGGCUGGCGCUGAGGCUGGGCUUCCUGAGAAACAAGACAAAUCCCAAAAAAACCCAGGAUCUGCUGUGGGCCCCUCAACACUGCUUCCUGUUGAGUCUUGAAGACACGCUCCAGCCAACCAAGUGACAGCAGAGCCACCGCGGGGUCCUCGUGGACUGCUGUGCUCGGAUCCUGCAACCGUGCUAUCCGGCCAGGGGGAAACCGGAAUAUUAUUGAUUUCAUGGUCUCUCAUUUGCAUAUAUUAGACAGCCUUGGGGAGGGGAAGGGAAUAAAGCAUUUCAGGGCCGGUUGUUUGCUUGUUUU